AUAUAUAUACACACACACACACACAUAUAUAUAUACAUAUGUGUGUAUAUGUAUAUAUGUAUAUAUAU